UACGAUAUAUUAAUUUGAAGCUUGCAAUUUAUGCAAAUGCCGAGGAGCUUUGCCCUGUCGGAAACCUGGGGCGAUUACCCGCCAUGUUGCAAUUUUCCCGCCUUUUUUUUCAGCCAUAUUGAUUAUUUUGUUCGUCGUUCUUGCUUCAAAGUGAGCUGCAGUUUUUUAUUGUAUUUCGUUUCUCAAUCUUCUUGAAACAACAACAAUGAACUGGGGUGGAGGUGGUAUGUAUUGAGUGUCUUCUGGAGGCAUUUUAUAAACUAUAUUGUAUAAUAAUACCUUCGUAUGAGUAGAAUAUGAGUAUAUGAUAAUAUUACCUCUGAAUUUGAUUCAGAUCUUGAUUUAAAUAGUAGAUUACAAUAUUAAGACAUUGAUGACCAUUUCUGCCGACAGAUUAAACAGAUCCCCAAGCAGACCUUUCAAGUUGAUCACAUUCUGUAAUGAGAUAGACGGGGGCAUGAUCCCCAGAAAAUUUUGAAAUCUAUGCUGCCUCUGGGCAAAUUGUAACAAGACAAAAUAUAUUAAACUGCACAUAAUUUUCAGCUGCACCAUCUAGCUAUGUUGUUUUCUAGCGUGAUCAAUUUUUGUCUUGAUAUAUGGCUAUAAAGGUCCAUUCCAUUUAAUCCCCNNNNNNNNNNNNNNNNNNNNCCCCCCCCCCCCCCCAUGGACGAGGUCAAUAAAAUUUGAACCCCUAAGAAAAAAAGAUAAAAGUGCCGACACAAACAACCACCCCCCCCAGAAAUAAAUAAAUUUUUGCCUUACCCCUCAGAAAGAACGCAAAGAUGAAAGGAUGCUGAUGCAGACAACCCCUCAGAAAUGGCUUUCUCAAACUACCUCAGAAAUUCUCGUCCAUAGGGGAUAUUAAAUGGAAUGGCCCAAAGCGUGAUGGAAACCAGACACCGUUCUGUAGCACAGUUUAAUUGAGAAUUAAAAGAAAGUUGGGGAAAGAAAGUUUUAAAAAAUUGAGCAAAAUUUCUAAAUCAGACAAAAACAAUCCGACCUACUUUCGAAAGGAAAUCAAUCUAGACCUCGUUUAACUACGCACACACACAUUACGCUAUCGACAAGCUUGUUGAAUUCAUUUGGAAAAAAUACAUUUUUAUGUUUUUAUAGUAAUAUACAGGGUGUCUAAAAAACGCAAUGGAAAUUCAACAGGCUGUCGUGCAUCAUAAACUUGGCUAAACAAUUCAAUUUUUACAUAGGACGAACGAGCUGUUAUUUAGCUUUUCUAUGAUACCUUUUUAAAUUGUAACGAUGAGAAAUGGCCACAUAGUCGUCAAAUCAAAAUUGCCAUUUGAAAUCACAUUCUUCCACCAUUGGGAAUUGAAAAUACAUUAAUUAUGCAAAGUUAAUUAAUGGGUCGUUCCAGAAAACAUCCAUACCUCUCCCACGGAGGAAAUUGGAAUUUAACACCCCCCCCCCCCNNNNNNNNNNNNNNNNNNNNGCCAAAAAAAAUAUGUAGGUUAGGGAUGAGCCGAUAAGGAAAAUUGCUGAUUACUGAGGCCGAGUAUUUAUAAGCCGAUUAUCGUAACUAAUCGGCCGAUUAUCGUAACUAAUCGGCCGAUUAAUCGGCGCCUGCCGAUUAUUUUGAAAAGCAAGAGAAAAGAUGAUCAACAAUGAAGUUGUAAAUGCGGUUUUAUUGUUUACAAUACACACUACUAUGUACAAUUAAAAUCAGCUUCAAUCUCGCAGGAUAUUGUCAGCUUUAAUGCGGAGCUAGUCUGCUGCGUUUUUCAGUGGAAAAGGUUUGUCAUGGUGAACUGUUUGCAUGUUUUUCCUCUGACGAUUACGAUUCGAGAGCUUUUUUCCUGGUAAAAUUUACACAAAUGUUGCUUUCGUGUUGUCAUCUUCCAAAAUAUCAAAAUAUGUCCAAAAGUUCUGCGCUUUUCACAGUGUGCGCCAUUAGGUUCUGGACAAAAUAACUCCGAGCAAUUUUCCCCAAUGCAUUUUAUUACAAAUAUCAGUAUUAGUUUAAGCCAAUCAGAAAACAGAAUAUGGUAUGACUCAACGCAUAGGUGUUUUAACUGUUUUUAAUGACUUCCUCAAAGACGCAGGUUUUGAGACAAAAGAUGCAGGUUUUGCAACAAAAUGUGAAAAUAUAUUCGCUUGUAUUCAGUAUUUUAGGCAUGCACUUGGCAGCUGCAGAAAAAGUCUUAUGGCCGAUUAUUUGCCGAUUAUCAGAUAAUAAUCGGCCGAUUACCGAUUAUUAAAAAAUGGCUGAUUAAUCGGUAAAACGAUUAUUUACCGAUUAAUCGGUUCAUCCCUAAUGUGGGUUUCCUAUUUCUUCUUGUAAAAACUUAGGUUCGUUUUAACUUUUUUUUUAAACUUUUUUUUAAUUUUCCUAACAACCGGACGCCAUUUUGUUUAGUCAGUGCUUCUACAUCCAAAGAUAAAUUUCCCUAAUAUUGCCUCAAAUUUUCAUUUUCCACAAACGUUUUCCUCUAAUUGGAAACUAGUGAUGGGCGAUACCACCAGUAUCGGUUUCCAUACGAUACCGAUUACUUUUUGGUUAAAGUAUCGAGGUAUCGAUUACCCAAACAAUUACUUCCUCCAAUUUUCAAAAUAAUAAAUGUAAGUCACUUAAUAAAGAGCCGACUGUUAAAGAAGUAGCCUUCUACUGUAACAAUAUAUUUUCAGAAAGUUGCAUAUUUUUAACAGUAACGAUUUGAUCCGCCAUUUUAAUCCAUAAAAAACAAAAAUUACUUUAUUUCCCGCCUUUUUCAUAAUUUAUUCUGUCUGCGAGGAUAGAAUGUCAAAUAAAGAUCAUUAAAGAAAAAGGAAGUUAAUUGAUUAAAUUGAUAAAUGCAGCAGAAUACAAAAAAAGUACAUAAAUUUUAUUAGAAAUAACCAUGAAAACGAUGACACAACUACAGGAUUAUAAUGAAUGUCUAAUUUUAAAAGUAAUCGAAACACUUUUUCGAUACCGUGCAGUAUCGACUACUUCCUGCUUGGGACUGGUAUCGGGUGGUAUCGAUACCAAGUAAUCGGUAAUCGCCCAUCACUAUUGGAAACACUUACAAGCAUGAUCCAAUAAAAAAGUUUAGGGUUGGGAUUUUUGCAUCCAAAAGCUUGGGGUCGGGAAACCGGAAACCCACAUAUUUUUUUUGCCUAAUACACUUACUAUUAUCAGAAACAAUUUUUUCUUCCCUCCCCCUAGACGCAGUAUUUAGGCACUGGUGUAAAGUGCAAUGCUGUGGAGCAUGCACAAAACAAGUGCAAAGACAUACUAUUUUUAAAUAAAUGCCAAUGCUUAUGAUUCCUAAUAAACUGACAGAGGUCAUUACUUAAAAAACUAUUUGGGCACUGCAAUUUGAUGAUGAUGCCUAAUAAGAGUUUAUAAGUUACUGUAAAUCACCCCAUGACGCCAAAUUAUUUGGUACCGGCACUAUGAAAUAAGACACAGUCGGUAAAAAUGUUUAUGUGAGUUAAAUUAUUCUAAAGCAUUCGCCAUGCAGGUAUUGUGGUGAUAUUGUCCCACUGAGUGGCUGCACUCUCCCCCUGAUGAGUAAAAUUGUCUGAGGCUAGACAGAGUGAAAUAAUAAAGGGUGCAUCUGGGUGCAUUGCCACUUAAAGGGUUAACAGGGUGCAUCAUGCGCAGAUAGUCUGAUUAACUCAUUGAGUGGCAGCAAUCUUACCCUGAUGAGUAAAAUUGUCGGGGGCUAUACAGAGUAAAAUAAUAAAGGGUGUGUAAUAAUAAAAUCUGGGUGCAUUGCCACUUAAAGGGUUAACAUGACACUUUAUGAUUUUAUAGGAAAUCAAUUUGGGGACAGUAAGGUAAGUUGCUAUGUAAUCCUAUACACACUAGGAAUAUAAGACAAUGUUAAAGCGUUAGCCGGUUCACACUAGCAAUUUUCUGGGCAAUUUUUGUCUCCUGAUGGUGCGAAAGUACUAUACUCCAAAAGUAGGUAGUUGCUUUUUGGGAGUAUACAUUUCUACUGUACUACUACAGAGCUUUCAAAGUAGGGUGCACAAAUGUGAUGGAAUUGUUAUUGAACAUUUAUUUGGUUUUUCCAAUCCUCAUUCAUCCCAUUGAAACUAUACUGUAGCUAAGCUUAGCUUGUUCAGCUAAAUUAUCAAACAUACAAAAUGUACAAAAAUUCUUAUACAUAAUACAAAACUUAUUUCAUUAGUACAAAUAUUCCUUCCUACAUUGAGGACAGCAGCAUAUUGACCACAGCUGCAUACUGUACUUUGAAAGAUUGUGCAGAAGUAAAAUUUGAAUACUGUGAUUGAAACUGUGCUACUAACAGCUAUCAAAAUAUAUUGACAAGUGUGAAAAGUGAUUCUAAUAAAGCAUUGCUUUUUUUUAUAUUGCGGUAAAAGCAAAACAAUUUCCAGCCUACUUGGAAAUCCUAUAUAUAUAUAAUCUAAAUUUCCCAAAAGACUGGAGAUUUUAAUUCAUUAAGUUGCAUUAUUCCCUAAUGUGCCCAAUUUUAUUAUUUAACUUAAAAUGAGGAAAUUUUACUUAUCAACAGGAAAGUGUUGUGAAAGGGUGAAGAUUUCAGACUGUCCAUACAUGUGUCUAUUUGUUACAUUUAUAUAAUAACAUUAAGAAUUCAAGCGCUUUCAUUGGUCGAGAGCCAUGAUCUAUUAGAGGACAGACCAUAGAUAUCUUAUAAGAUAUCUAUGGGACAGACGCACAGAAUUACGUCACACAAAAGUGACAAAACUUUGUUCUGUGCAGCCAAUCACAACAAUUAGCAUGUGACUUAAGGUAGCCAAUAGCAUUCCCUUAUUUGUAUAGAUCAUGUACUGUGUACAUGAUAUUUGUAAAAUUUGAUUUUUUCAAAUUUCGAAAUGUUUGGGUGGAUAAAAAUUAAGCUAUUUACCUGUUUAAUUCAGGGUUUUUCUUUUUAUUACAUAAAACAAAUAGAUAAGAUUUUGCCAUUGUUUGUUCAGUUAGAGAUGCACAGCAUGACGUCAUAAUGUGGGAAGAACAAAAAGUGGUCACGAGCCGCCGAGGCUGUUCUUUCCACAUUAUGACGUCAUACUGUGUAUCUAUAACUGAACAGACAACAGCAAAAUCUUAUGUAUUUGUUAAUCUGAUUAUGACUGGAUCUUUUCAGAUGUCAUCCUUCAGCAGUCCUGGAGCAGGUGGUGGAUUUCUGGAUGGAACAUUUGGUGAAUCACCUGCGUCUCAACGCAUUAAG
rnacentral:lncRNA from 1 species